GGGGGGUCCUCCAGGAACCUUGAAGACCCAAGACUUUCCUGGUGUCAUCACUGCACAUGGGCAACCCCACUUGCACACCACCACUGGGAGAGCUCCUUACUCUCUAGGCACCCCGACUUUGCCUGGGAAGAAAAAGCACCUCUUUACAUUAAACUGGAAUUUGUCUUCCCGGAACAACGUCCCUGCACACGUGCACCGCCUCCCUGAGGGCUGCGCCUGCACAGAUGUGAUCUGUUCCCUCUGCCUCCAGGUGAUGGCAAUGCCAAGAGGUCCUGAGGGAGUUUUGUUUUGAGGAGAGUAGACUGCUUCCCUAUCCGAAAUACAAAGCUCUGUUUAUUCCUUUAUUUACCCAGCACUGAGCACAGGGGCUGCCACCGUGGCCAGCUCAGACAUGGCAGAGAUCAGCAGAGAAUGGGCAAUGGGGCUCCCCUGAGAUGAGCAGCAGCGCAGAGGAGGUGCCCCUCUCUUACUACGCCGACUUCAGAGGGCGGCCCCUGCAGGAGAGCUUCAUGCGCCUGGUGGAGGCCUGUGGGGACGCGGAGCAGAGCAUGGACAACUGGCUGAGUCGGCUGGACGGCUGCUGCUGGCUGUAACGUGUAAAGGAGGCACUGAGCACCGCCUGCGUGGCAGUCCAGGGCAUGGAGAGUGCCCAGUACAAGAUCUGACUGGCAAUAAUGUUUGCAAGAAAAAGGAGAAGAGGAGAGGUUAUCACGGCUCCGAAGUGGCUGUCACCCUACUAACCAGGGCUGCCCACCCAGACUCCCAGCUGGAAACUCACUCCCUGCUUUUCUGCUGUGUGAAGUGAGGACUCGGACGCGCUCCCUGUGGUCUGGGCUCAACCAGCCAAAAGAACAACAAAGACUCCGGAACCCACUCUACAUCCUCAAUCGCUUGGCCAUCUGUGGAGCCCCAGAGCCUGUGGCUGUGGCGAGUCCCACACCUUCUCCCCGGGGAUUACCCCUCUGCUCAGCGUCCUGACCCGUCUUCCUCCUCCUCAGGCCUGUUUCUGCGCUGGACCUGCUCACCUGAGCCUGCAGAAGCCGCAUGGGGGAAGAGUGUGGCAAAUAGUGACAGGAAGGAGAAGACAGAAGUCUCUCAGCCAGCCGCUUCAGCCGAGCCCCUACUCUAAGCACUGGCUCCCUGGACAGCAGCUAAGAUGUUCCUGAAACCUCUGAAGGCCCCUUAGGACCUUUACACCGUGGAUGAGGGUGCCUGCAACCCAGGUUAGCCAGAAGUACUGAGGGGCUUAAGUGUGAAGUGUCCAGAGUAUAGGGAGGUCUAAAUCAUAAAAGUCUCCAUGACCAGCAUCAGCUUCCUGGGGUGUCAGUGAAAAGGAAAGAUGAUGAAAGAGACACCACAAAAUAUCUGACCAGAAGCCAUUUAUUACCAAACCAAUUUAUUUCGUAGAGUUCAAAACCUUCUGUGAGAAUCUUCUCUGGCCUGGAUGGAGAUCCACCUUUUUUUUGAGACGGAGUUUCGCUCUUGUUGCUCAGGAUGGAGUGCAAUGACGCGAUCUCAGCUCACUGCAACCUCUGCCUCCUGGGUUCAAGUGAUUCUCCCACCUCAGCCUCCUGAGUAGCUGGGACUACAGGCACGUGCCACCAUGCCCGGCUAAUUUUUGUAUUUUUAGUAGAGACGGGGUUUCUCCAUGUUGGUCAGGCUGGUCUCAAACUCCUGACCUCGGGUGAUCCGCCCGCCUUCGCCUCCCAAAGUGGUGGGAUUACAGGCAUGAGCCACCGCACCUGGCCGGAGAUCCAGCUUCUUAAGCCUCAAACUCAAAUUCGAAGUACUGUGGGUCGAAGUAAUGGAUACGGACGUAACCAUCUUCGCCGCCGCUGCUGUAGCUGGAAAAAGAUAGCCAGGCACCAGUCAGGUGCUUACCCUGGGAGAGGCAGAGACCCAACCCAGGCUUAGCUCAGCUGCUUCACUGGGACCCUACCUCUUGCCAUCAGGAUGGAAGGCAACACUGUUGAUAGGUCCAAAGUGACCCUUGACUCUUCCAAACUCUUCUUCAAAGGCCAAAUGGAAGAACCUGGAGGAAAAGGGACACAAUUAAUUCACUUUCCAUCUUCUUCCAAAACACUUUGGAGGUGGCACUCCCCAAAUGCAAACUGUUAUUAUUAUUUAUUUAUUUUGAGAUGGAGUCUUACUCUGUCACCCAGGGUGGAGUACAGUAGCGCAAUCUCAGUUCACUGGAACCUCUGCCUCCUGUGUUCAAGCAAUUCUCCUGCCUCAGCCUCCUGAGUGGCUGGGAUUACAGACGCCUGGCUAAUUUUUGUAUUUUUAGUAGAGAUGGGGUUUCACCAUGUUGGCCAGGCUGGUCACGAACUCCUGGCCUCAAGCCGCCUUCCUUGGCCUCCCAAUGUGCUGGGAUUACAGGCAUGAGCCACCACACCUGGCCUCAAAUGCAAAUUGUAUCACAAAAUAUAAAGCAGAAGCCGAGGCGCAGUGGCUCACACCUGUAAUCCCAACACUUUGGGAGGCCGAGGCGGGUGGAUCACUGGCGGCCAGGAGUUUGAGACCAGCCUGGCCAACAUCUCUACUAAAAAUACAAAAAGCAGCCAGGGACGGUGGCGUGUAACUGUAAUCCCAGCUAUCCAGAGGCAGAGGUAGGAUGAUUGCUUGAGCCCAGGAGGUUGCGGUGAGCAGAUGGUGCCACUGCACUGCAGCCUGGGCAACAGAGUGAGACCCUGUCUCAAAAAUAAUAAUAAAGCAGAAAAAUUAAGAUAAGAAGUGAAUGUGAACAAAAUAAGAUGGAAGUUGGUGGCUGCGUGCCACGGUUCACGCCUAUAAUCCCAGCACUUUGGGAGGCUGAGGCCAGAGGAUCGCUUGAGCCCAGGAGUUCCAGGCCAGCCUGGGCAACAUAGACCCUGUCUCUUACUUUUUUAACUUUUUUAUAAUAAGGGGAAGACUGGACCCAGAUGUCUGCCUGAAUACAUAACUAAUACUUACAGAGUGCCUACUAUGUGCUGGGCAGUGUUUAAAGAGCUUAAUAAAUAUUAACUGAAUAAUUUGCAUAAUUUUAUGGUAA